rnacentral:lncRNA from 1 species
AGGUUCCAAAGAAAGUUGAUCCUCAAAGAGCUGAAGAUCCAAAGGCUCAGAAAAUAAUAGUGAAACGGAACCUUGGAGUUGGUUUUGGCAACUUAACGGCUACAGCUGACAAUAUUCCGCCAGGAUCUGAUGAAACUAAACAUCUAGAAGCAGCUGAGAUUAUAGUAAAGGCAGCAUCUAACUGUUGUGGGAAACUCUGCGAUUACUGCUGCUGCAUGUGCUGUAUUAAAGUAUGCUCACGGUUGAAUGACCAGUGUGCGGUUGUCCUAACGCAACUCUGCGGUUCCUUGGCAUGCCUAGGCUGCUACACUUGUUGUGGUGCAUGCUGCCCCGGGCAGGAUGGAUGAGAACCUAUCGCGUCUUGCAAUUAACCAUCUUGUAUGUUUGUGCUCGAUACGGCAUACUGUAUUUAUCCUUUUCAAUGUACAAAAUUAUACCAACCCAGCCAUGGCACCUCGUACUGUUGGUAAUACAGUUGUAUGUUUUUCGUUUGUGUUGAGGCGCCCUCUUGUGGCCUGUGUUAGCCCACUGUAUCUUUCAAACUUACUGACUUUGUUGUGACAAUGCCAGAGACACCUGCAUGUAAUCUUUUUGGAGUUAUCUUUCGAAUGACAAAAAUGGGAGCAACCAAUUUAGUUACUCAAAUCUGUCAAUUUGUAUAUCUAAAAAAAAAUGUAUUUUUUCGAUUAUCUAUAUUUUUCUACUUUUUGGCAAAAUGCAAUAUUCAUAUAUGAUAUAUCAGUAGGUUCAGGAUUCAAAUCUUUGGUCUGACAACGGGUUUGGAAAGGAAUUGGAAGGUAAGAAAUAAAAUUAAAGAAUAGAAGUUACGGAGGCAUUGGAAUACCAGAUAAAAAGCCUGAUUAUCUCCUGCGCAGUCCCUGCUAAUGACGGUGGGAUGAAAAACUUCCGAGGAGCAUCAUUGGUAAUGGUGGCAGUACAAAGUCAAGAUAUUUUGUUCCAUAAGCUUGCAGCAAUUAGAGAUGGCCUUCAUAUGGCGAAGAAUAACUGUUGGUGCAAUACUGAUAUGAGAUCAGAUUCCAGUGCAGCUAUUGCAAUGUCAAGAACGAGUACAUAUGUCCCUAGAGGAGGCGCCUUCUUUUCUUCCAAAGCCAGAAUUGAUUUUUUGGCAUUUUACAAACCUAAUUCCACAGAAAAUUACAAAAGCCGACAACUCUUGUGAUUCCUGAGGAGACUUAUAAAUUACCCAAAACCUCCCCCCCCCAAACCUUCGAUAUGGGAUAACAACCUAAGCAGACGAGCUGCUGCUAAGACCUAAAGAGACCUCACUCAACGCGGUACAAGCUGUUGUCUUUUCUUCCAAAACCAGAAUUGACUUUUUGCCAUUUUACAAACCUAAUUCCACGGGAAACCACAAAAACCGGCAACUCUUGUGGUUCAUGAGAAGACUUAUAAACUACCCAAAACCCCCCCCAAACCUUCGAUGUAGGAUAACAACCGAAGUAGGCGAGCUGCUGCUAAGACCUAAAGAGACCUCACUCAACCCCGUACAAGCUGUUGUUUUUUCUUCCAAAGCCAGAAUUGAGUUUUUAGCAUUUUAUAAACCUAAUUCCACAGGAAACUACAAAAGCCAGCAACUCUUGUGGUUCUUGAGAAUACUUAUAAAUUACCUAAAACCCCUCCCAAACCUUCGAUGUGGGAUAACAACCUAAGCAGGCGAGUUGCUGCUAAGACCUAAAGAGACUUCACUCAACCCGGUAUAGACUGUUGUCUUUUCUUCCAAAACCAGAAUUGACUUUUUGGCAUUUUGUGACGGCCCCACCUUCCCCUAAGGCGAACCAGAGGGUUCGGCGGGCCGCCUGUCCGGCUCUCGCCGGGACUCAGUCGUUCACUAAAGUCUUCAAAUGAAUUACAAGAAUAAACCUCAAAUAUACAUCACAUGAUCCACAAAUAUACAUCCAAAUCUGCAAUAAUUACAUGUCACAAAUGCAGCGGAAACUAAUUCCCAACUAUACAUCAAAUGAUUCCAAAACCAAAACUGUACAAGAUAUAGGCCAUCCAUUCACGUGAAUAAGCACAACAAGUCCUGCCUUCGCCUUGAGCCCUGUGGAGGGGAAUAAAAUAUUUUUGGGGUGAGUUAGAAACUCAGUGAGUAACCAGAAAAUCAGUAAUCAAAUCGGUUUAACAAUAUUUCUUUUCAAUGAUGUCAUAAAUCAAUGAUGUCAUAGAUCAAAUGAUAAGUCCAGAAACGAUUACAGCAUUUACAAAACAUUAAAUAUGGAGUAUCAAUAAUUCAAGAAACAUGUACAAUGGAAAGCGAUAGUAACAUUCAUGAAAGGAUACGUUCAUUUUUUUAUAAAUAAUCCAUCGUUCAUCUUUUUUAUUCGUUCAUCUUUUUUUUUCCCCGGACGUUGGCCGGUCUCCACCCAUCCGGACGUAGCCGGACUCCACCCAUCCGGACGUAGCCGGACUACAAGGUAAUACUCGAGUAUACCAAAUUCACCCAGGGUCACCAUAUCGUACGACCGAAUCCGCUUCUGGCUCGAAUCGAUCGGUAACGAAGGGCAGGGUCCAAUUCAGCCAAACGGCUUACAUUCAUGCGCAACUAACAUUUCAAUAAUUAAAUCCUUGAAAAUUGCACAGUUAUUUAGGUCGAGUGCGAUAAAGUACACACUCGCCUAGAAAGCUCGUUUUGGAAAUCAUUCAAAGCACUUAACACGUUAUCAAUCAAUAAUACAAGUCAUGAAGUCAAGAAAAUAUAGCAAAUAAGGAACACUCACAUGCAAGCACGCAUGAUAUGCAAGAAAACAGUUCAAAAGUAAUUUUGGAAACAGUUUAAAGGUAAAUAAUGCAAGAAAACGGUACAAAAGUAACUUUGGAAACAGCUCAAAAGUAAAUAAUGCAGGAAACGGUUCAUAAAUAACUUCAGAAAUAGUUUGAGAUCACUCACCUCCAUGGCUCAGAAACCAUUCAUCAUAUAUCAUUGCCUUGCUCAAAUCCAAGUCUUAGAUCACAAACUCAAAGCAAUCAAAUCCUUUCAAAGUGCGGACAGCACUUCCACUAAAUUUGCUUACUUUUCCAGCCGUCAAGGCUUCAUUAUUUCCUCAGCCAGUUCCAAAGGUACACACAUAACAACAAGUUCAUCCAAUAGCCAUUCAGCAAACUCCAAGUAGUACUAGUACCAGUCAAACUAGGGAAAAGUUUGGAAAUGAAAGUUAAGUUCAAAACCAGAAAAACAGUUUUGACGUCAUUUUGCGGUAAUGGUACCAAAGGCACUACGAUUGUCGGAUGAAGGUACAAGAUACACCGUUUCGAAGCUAAGAGAUAGGGCUACAAUAUUGAAGAAGGUCACUCAAUCCAGUUUCGAGUGUAACCAGGUCAAAAAUGCAAGAUACUACACCAGAAUCACAAAAACAGCUUCACAGAACGCAUUCUAGCGGAAACAUCAUAACUCAGGCUCUCCAAGUCCAAAUCCAGAAAUUCCAAAACCAGCUGAAAGCUAAGAAAUAGGGCUAAAUUUCAUCAGAAGGCCUCAACAUCCAAUUUGGAAGCAAUUCCAGCCAAAACAACCAAUUACAGUCGCAAAUCCCAAUUUCGGGUAAACCAGAACAGCAAUAGUAAUUUCGACUUUUCUCACUCUACGCUACUCCGAUUAACCUGAAAUUUUGUAGGCACCUCUAAAAUGUCAUUCCCUACAACUUUCAUGUUUUAAGUAAAGGCCAAUUCGGCCUCUAUCUAGGACCUAAAAAUUCGGACAGAAUGUUCAUCACAAAACCCUCACUUUUCAAUUUUUGGUCCAAAACAGAAAUUGGUUGCAAUUAAUCACUUUUUCCACCUCCUAGAGUCAUUAAACAUCAUUUCCAAUCAUCAUAUAUAACCACACAACCAUGUUCAUAUUAAAACAGAAAAAAUCCCCAAAAAUUAUAAAACUUCAUCAAGUCCACCACAACUCAAGAUAUAAUCCAUCAAACCAUCUCUUUAACCAUCACAAGUCACUAAUUAAACAUGAUUGAGAAGAAAAGAGAGGUUCCUUAGCUACUCACCUUACCAACUCAAGAAAGGAAGCAAUUUAGCACCUUGGUCUUCCAAACCACUUCACAACCAACCUUAAUACCACU